UUCCUCAUCAAUUCCACUGUUCUUGUAUUGUAUUGUGCUGAUGGAAACAAAUUCUGUGAUUUCAGAAACAAAGGACGCUGAUGCUGCUUUUCAUCCUUCUGCCCAAGGAGAAUAAAUGUUUGUGCAAACCUUUUUUCAUGUGGCUGCCCAGAAAUGACCCGAGUGAAGCCAAGAAGUUGAACAUUAAGCAACCUCGCCCUGGUGAUGCUGCUGAAAUGAGAGUGAAGUUGAAGAAAGGCCCUUGUCCUCAGGUAUUAUUUGUAAACAGAACUUCUCCUCCCAUCCCAAGCAGCCUCUGGGGUUUCUCUCCCUCCCAGAAGCCAAGCUGUGCGCGGAGCCACGGAAGGAAGGUGCGACCCUACGGCGCGCGCAACAAAGUACAGAAACAAGAUCAUUAACAUCUUAAUAUCCUGCCCUGACAUCUCACAAAUUAUUUUAGACUUCAUAGCCAAUGUAAACAGGUUUGUUUUCAACUCCCCUAAUUGCCUGCUAAUUGAGAGCAGAUGCAGGCCUUAACUUUGAGCAGAUAAAGAGCAGCCUCUUCUCUGGGGCUCCGCGUCUAUCAGGAGGUCUCUGAUGUGUGCUCUGAGCUUCCCUGCUUAGUGAUGCUGAGGCAGAGGGGGAUUGCAACGGCUCCUCUUGCCUGAACCUCAGUGAGACAGAAGGGAAGACAGAGCUGUGGGACUCAUCAGUAACAUCAUCAUCAUUAUUGUUUCAUUUCGUACUCCAGUGCACUUUCUGCAACAGCGCAGGUCUCCUUCUGGGGGGGGAGUUCUCCGAAUUAUAGAUGGGCUUCUCGUUAUGAUAGAAAUCACUGGGUUUAUGAAAAAUGCAUUGCUGUCAUAUUCCAUUAUCUACUUCCUCCCAUGCUGCAAUCCCGUAGCUUGCAAGUCAUUAGAUUCUUUUUC
rnacentral:lncRNA from 1 species